UAGGGAAUCUUCCGCAAUGGGCGAAAGCCUGACGGAGCAACGCCGCGUGAGUGAUGAAGGUCUUCGGAUCGUAAAACUCUGUUAUUAGGGAAGAACAAAUGUGUAAGUAACUAUGCACGUCUUGACGGUACCUAAUCAGAAAGCCACGGCUAACUACGUGCCAGCAGCCGCGGUAAUACGUAGGUGGCAAGCGUUAUCCGGAAUUAUUGGGCGUAAAGCGCGCGUAGGCGGUUUUUUAAGUCUGAUGUGAAAGCCCACGGCUCAACCGUGGAGGGUCAUUGGAAACUGGAAAGCUUGAGUGCAGAAGAGGAAAGGGGAAUUCCAUGUGUAGCGGUGAAAUGCGCAGAGAUAUGGAGGAACACCAGUGGCGAAGGCGACUUUCUGGUCUGUAACUGACGCUGAUGUGCGAAAGCGUGGGGAUCAAACAGG
rnacentral:rRNA from 1 species